GGCGUCAUCUGUGUUUCUUCCUUCAGAACUCAUUGUGGGUGCCUGCCCUCGGCCCACACACCUGUGGAGAGUGAACACCUGCGCCUCAUUAUCCCUGCCAUUAUUUAAGCCGAGGAAAGGAAGUUACUCAUCGCUGGAUCGUUGUAUGACUCGCAGGGGAGUUGUGAGUGAGUGGAGAGUGGCUGGCUGGAGAGUGGCUGGUGGUGAGCAGUGUGUAACCGAAGAGGAGCGAGAGUGUUUUUCCCCUGUCUUCCCCACCUUGGAUUUCCCAGAGCCCUUACCCCUGACACCAUUGUA